UACGGGGGGGGGGUAAGCGUUGUUCGGAAUUACUGGGCGUAAAGCGUGCGCAGGCGGCGCGUUAAGACAGGUGUGAAAGCCCCGAGCUUAACUUGGGAAUUGCGCUUGUGACUGGCGUGCUGGAGUGUGGCAGAGGGGAGGUGGAAUUCUACGUGUAGCAGUGAAAUGCGUAGAGAUGUGGAGGAACACCGAUGGCGAAGGCAGCCUCCUGGGCCAGCACUGGACGCCUCAUGCACGAAAGCGUGGGGAGCAAACAGG
rnacentral:rRNA from 1 species